AAAACAUUGCAAGCACUUGCUACGAGCAAGGCUUUGACGAGCACCUUCCUCGUCCACAUUUGUUCAAGAGAGGUUGCAAGGAAAUUUCCUUCCGCACUUUGGGCACAUAACUAAAGUCAUCACUCCUAUGCCUAGGAGCAACGACUUGGGGGGCUCCUGUUCUGGACUAGACUAAUGCUAGUCCACCUAGACCCUCACAAAGUCCACAUGGCUUGCCCAACCACCUCCAUGUCAGCAUGGGACAACCUCUC
rnacentral:lncRNA from 1 species